rnacentral:rRNA from 1 species
GAUGAACGCUGGCGGCGUGCCUAAUACAUGCAAGUAGAACGCAGAGUGUAUAGCGUGGCUUUCUAGACGAUUUACGGAGGGUUGAGUAAGGGUUAGGAAAGCUUCGGGAACCUGGGUGGUAACUAUGGGAAACGAUAGGUAACGAUACAUAAUAACACAUAAUACAUGAUAUCUGAUUAAAAGUGGCAACAACUCCACUACGAGAUGCAACUGCGUUGUAUUAGGUUGUUGGUGAGGUAACGGCUCACCAAGGCGACGAUACAUAGCCGACCUGAGAGGGUGAUCGGCCACACUGGGACUGAGACACGGCCCAGACUCCUACGGGAGGCAGCAGUAGGGAAUCUUCGGCAAUGGACGGAAGUCUGACCGAGCAACGCCGCGUGAGUGAAGAAGGUUUUCGGAUCGUAAAGCUCUGUUGUAAGAGAAGAACGAGUGUGAGAGUGGAAAGUUCACACUGUGACGGUAUCUUACCAGAAAGGGACGGCUAACUACGUG